AAUAGAUACCCAGGUAGUCCACGCCGUAAACGAUGAGUGCUAAGUGUUGGGGGGUUUCCGCCCCUCAGUGCUGCAGCUAACGCAUUAAGCACUCCGCCUGGGGAGUACGGUCGCAAGACUGAAACUCAAAGGAAUUGACGGGGGCCCGCACAAGCGGUGGAGCAUGUGGUUUAAUUCGAAGCAACGCGAAGAACCUUACCAGGUCUUGACAUCCCGGUGACCACUAUGGAGACAUAGUUUCCCCUUCGGGGGCAACGGUGACAGGUGGUGCAUGGUUGUCGUCAGCUCGUGUCGUGAGAUGUUGGGUUAAGUCCCGCAACGAGCGCAACCCUUAUUCUUAGUUGCCAUCAUUCAGUUGGGCACUCUAAGGAGACUGCCGGUGAUAAACCGGAGGAAGGUGGGGAUGACGUCAAAUCAUCAUGCCCCUUAUGACCUGGGCUACACACGUGCUACAAUGGACGGUACAAACGGUUGCCAACCCGCGAGGGGGAGCUAAUCCGAUAAAACCGUUCUCAGUUCGGAUUGUAAGCUGCAACUCGCCUAC
rnacentral:rRNA from 1 species